rnacentral:lncRNA from 13 species
GAAGAUUUGAUUGAGCCUUAUUGUUGACAGCACAUCUGUCUGGAGCAGCUGCAGGGGCCAGGCACUAUUCCGGGUACUGUGGGCAGAAGUGGAAUGAGAGACGUAGCAGAGGCUCCCGCAAGGUUUAUGGUCAAGGUGGGAAGGCAGGAUAGACACAUGGAACCGAAAUAUGUCUUCAUUCGUCAGAACUCUGGGCUGCAAAUGACUGAUACCUACUCAACUAGCUUAGGCAAACAGGACGUUGAUGAUGAGAAUGCUGGCUAUGUACGGUUCCUGAUGUGAUCCCAGAAUGCUAGAAACCCAACACUGUAAGGCUUUAAACGCUGUCUGUGCUGUGAGCAAUCGAAGCACUUUGAACUUCCUCUACCGUAACAGCCGUCCCACUUCACUAUAAGAUCUUGCUUAUAUAUAAUAAACUAAACUCCACCAAGGCA